GAUGAACGCUGGCGGCGUGCCUAAUACAUGCAAGUCGAGCGAACGGACGAGAAGCUUGCUUCUCUGAUGUUAGCGGCGGACGGGUGAGUAACACGUGGAUAACCUACCUAUAAGACUGGGAUAACUUCGGGAAACCGGAGCUAAUACCGGAUGAUAUUUUGAACCGCAUGGUUCAAAAGUGAAAGACGGUCUUGUUGUCACUUAUAGAUGGAUCCGCGCUGCAUUAGCUAGUUGGUAAGGUAACGGCUUACCAAGGCAACGAUGCAUAGCCGACCUGAGAGGGUGAUCGGCCACACUGGAACUGAGACACGGUCCAGACUCCGACGGGAGGCAGCGGUAGGGAAUCUUCCGCAAAGGGCGAAAGCCUGACGGAGCAACGCCGCGUGAGUGAUGAAGGUCUUCGGAUCGUAAAACUCUGUUAUUAGGGAAGAACAUAUGUGUAAGUAACUGUGCACAUCUUGACGGUACCUAAUCAGAAAGCCACGGCUAACUACGUG
rnacentral:rRNA from 1 species